AGUGAACGCUGGCGGUCGGCCUAACACAUGCAAGUCGAACGGCAGCACAGUAAGAGCUUGCUCUUACGGGUGGCGAGUGGCGGACGGGUGAGGAAUACAUCGGAAUCUACUUUUUCGUGGGGGAGAACGUAGGGAAACUUACGCUAAUACCGCAUACGACCUACGGGUGAAAGCAGGGGAUCUUCGGACCUUGCGCGAUUGAAUGAGCCGAUGUCGGAUUAGCUAGUUGGCGGGGUAAAGGCGCACCAAGGCGACGAUCCGUAGCUGGUCUGAGAGGAUGAUCAGCCACACUGGAACUGAGACACGGUCCAGACUCCUACGGGAGGCAGCAGUGGGGAAUAUUGGACAAUGGGCGCAAGCCUGAUCCAGCCAUACCGCGUGGGUGAAGAAGGCCUUCGGGUUGUAAAGCCCUUUUGUUGGGAAAGAAAAGCAGCAGGUUAAUACCCCGCUGUUCUGACGGUACCCAAAGAAUAAGCACCGGCUAACUUCGUG
rnacentral:rRNA from 1 species